CUGAAGUUUGCUGAUAAGUGGCAAUGGUCAUAAAGGAACUGUUCUCUAUAGCUGAUUAAUACAUACUAUACCACCUGGCAAGUCCAGAUGGUUUUAUGCAAUCAUCUGUAUACUCUAUGAAAUUUAUGGUCUUGAAGGAAUUCAGAGCAGCACCCUGAUAAGAGGAAAGGGAAUGAACCAGGUACAUUAGAUACCAGACACAGACCACUGCUUAGAUCUGGUAAAACCUGGGGUAUUUUUGGAACAGAUUGCAGAUUUCAUUGGUAAGACCAAAAUGCAGAAGAGAUCCUGGCAGAACUUACAUCUGCAAGAGGAAUUAUGCUGCAACUUGCUGGGUCCAGUCAUUUUCCUCAGCAACUGCCAGGCACCUAUCAGCAAGUGCAAGACCCUCCAGAACUGAAAUUCAGAUUAAAAACAUACAGCUGCCAAAACAGGUAAGGACAGACUCUUUCCCCCAAACAUUUUACAAAUGGCUUGCUGGCUGAAGGAAUUGCCCAUGAGGUGGAAGGCUUGAGGAUCACACAGCCCGUCUCAGCUGCAGUCUCCAAGGGCAGUCCAGUGCAUAACUGAUUUUUAGGGAGAUGAUGUAGCAUUUUCUGCUAGCUUGCAUCUGGUAGGACAGAACUUCUCAUGCUUUCAAGGUAUGCUUUUUAAGCUGCAUAGCAACAUUUAGUAUAAUGGCAGCAUAAACUUGCACAGCAUUUUAAAAAGUGAAUGCCAAACCUUGUAAUGAAGUGCCUAAGGGGAAUUUAUACAGGAAAAAAAUACAAAUAAUGCCAACACUUUGGAACUGCACACUCUGCAUUUUAACUAGCAUCUAAAGUGACAAGGG
rnacentral:lncRNA from 1 species